rnacentral:lncRNA from 1 species
UAUGCAAGGACAGUGAACCAAAUACCCAAUUUCUCUUCUUAACUUGUUUGUUAAUGUAAGGAGAGCCUUUAUUUAGAUUAGUAGUUAACAAUUUGUUAAUUUUAUAAUUUAUUGAUACUUAUGUGUAAUUUGCGUAAAUAGUUACAGUUUGGAGUUCUUUAUGUAAUUAGAAAAAGUUUUGUUUCUAUCGGUGUAUAAAUACUUUACCACCCUUUGUUAAUAAACAAUACAUCGAAUUCAUUUUUAUUCGAA